AAUGUAAUUUUAAAAACUUGAGUAGUAAUAGUUAUAUUCUUUAAACUUAAAAAAUUUGGCGGUAUUUUAGUCUAUUCAGAGGAACCUGUUUUUUAAUCGAUAUUCCACGUUGGACCUUACUUAAUUUUAUUAAUUAGUUUGUAUACCGUCGUUAUAGAAAAUUUUAUAAGAAAAAUAAUUUUCAAUAAAUUUAAUUAAAUUUAAUAUCAGAUCAAGGUGCAGCAUAUAAUUAAGAUAAUAAUGGGUUACAAUAAAUUUAUUUAUAUGGAAAUAAAUAUGCAAAAUUUAUGGAAGGUGGAUUUGAAAGUAAAAUUAUAAAGAUUAAUAAUUUGAUUUUAGCUCU
rnacentral:rRNA from 1 species